CUGUGUGCUGCUACUGGUUCCAAAACGUGCCACAUAGAGCGCGUUCCAGCAGCAGCAGCAUUUAAGAUGUUUAUUUUUGAACAACAGCUGAUUACCACGUCUUGCUAACCUAAUUAUGUGUCUUGAUGAGGAGGGAAAGGUGAAACAAGGUGGUUUAGUGGCAUGUGUUUGUUAGGUACGGUGUCUGUUUACAUACCUACAAAUAGUACAAUAAGAAAAAUAAAAUGAAAUCACUUAGUACUUGGAGAAAAAAAAAAGAUAUGUACCUUCUUACAUAUACGAUGUAAGCAAUAAUUGUCAAUAAAAUUCAAAGAAGAGCAACGAUGCUCUAUUGUUUAUUUCCUUGCAAAAAAGUAGCACCUAGGUAAUGAGAAUUUUUUUUUAAAAAAAAAAUCCAAGAAAUCUUUAAUCAACAAAUAUCACAAUAAUCAUUGUGUUUUAAUAAAAAAAAAAAAGUCUCCUCCUUGAAUAGGCAGGUAGUAUCUAUUGUUCUCAAUUGAUUCCAUUUCCGAACUAAAUUAUUACAGUUUGAUUUUAGUAUCUAUUAGGUGUUUAGUUGUGUUUAGCUGCUUGCUUGCUUGCUUAAGUACCUACCUGCAAAAAUUUUUUUAUCAUAGGAGAUUAUGCUCAGUCUCAGUUUUUCUAUUUUUACACUUAGACGACCAUUAAUUUCCUAUGCAAUAAAAAAUAUUAUUCAAAUAAGUAAAAGCAGCAUGUGAUUUUUUUCAUCGAGUAAAAAAUACGCAUUUACAACAUAGAUAAUUAUGUCCCGUCGCAGUUUGUUGAUUUAUAUAUACUGGACGGAUCAAUAAUUAUCUAUGAAUAAAAUGAUAAUUUCUACUACUACUCUUCAAGUUGAAAAUAGUAUAGUAACAGUGUUGUGAAUUGUGAUAGUGAUUUUUUUUCAAUCAGUUGUUUUAAAAUAAACUUUGUUGUAUGAUAACAGUGUUGUGAUAGUGUUAGAUCAAUGUACUUUUUUUCGUGAAAUAAUUGAUAAAAAUCGUUUAAUUGAUAAAAAUUGUUUAAUUGAUAAAAAUCGUUUGUGAGUAAAGCUGUAACGUAUUCAAAAAAAAAAAAAAAAAAAACGAAAAAUUACGGAUCAAGAGUCAAGAUUUUUAAGAAUUUGGUUUGAAAUCACUCAACGAAACUAUUGUAUUUUGACGUUGAAAUUACAAAACUAGAAUUCUGUUAACGAGUAAAGCUGAAAAAUUGCCAAUUUGAAUGUGAAAUGGAUCGACAUCGACUACAUGAAAAUAAUACACGAUUUUCUAGUUUGUUUUUUUUUUUAAAAGAGUUGGUCGAAGUGCAAUUACUUAUUCGUUUUUUAUUCACAGUUUGCAACGAUGUUCUGACUCAUGAGAAAAAAGAUCGCACCAUCAUGAUGGAAUGAAGUACGAAUCGAAGUGGUUCGACAUUGCUGGUACAACGAAAUUGUACGCGACGCGCCUUGGGAAAUUGACAACGAUUUUCUCGAGAAACAUAAAAUUGAUUUCGUAGCUCACGAAGAGAUACCUUGAAAGCGAUCAAAGCAACGACGUGUACAUCAAGCUGAAAGAAAAAAAAGACCUGUUUGUUUGUCGCUACAAAACGAAUCGAAGUGUACAAAUGGUCACUUGAGUGUGUUGGUUGUUUUCUCUCAUUUGUUGGUUGAUGCGCAGAUGAAACAGCGACUUGUUCUAAUUGAUGUAUUGAAAUUAGCAAGAUUUAAUUACCCUUCCCUCAGAAUGCCAGUUUUGUGGUAAAGAUUAUCCACGUAAUUUUAUCAGUUGACAGGAGCAGUCGUUAAACAAUGAAAGGUUAAAAUAUUAUCCGAAUUGAUCAGCAACGGAAUCCAAAUCUAACAAUUCCCUCCACUGACGAUGAAACCGUUUCAGCUACGAACGCUGGAAUGAACGCGAUCAUUCUAUUCGCCAUUGUCGAUAGUACAGAAUUCGUAAAAAUUGUCAAUAAAAUGAUGAGAUCCCGGCAAUACCCUUGGGGAAUUGUUUACGAACCAAAGUGGUAUUUGGAUUAAUUUCCAGCUGUUUGUGAGUUUACUUUUACGUAGAAAUUGAAAAAUAAUUCGUAACGAGAGGAAUGAAGUACUUCGAAGGGGAUAAACCACUUCAUGGUUGAUUAUAUGAUUUGGCCUUGGUUCGAACGACUAGAUUGCUUCACACGAAGGAAAAGAAUUCGGCUGGAAAAAGAACCAUCUCACACUUCUACUCUUCUUUGUACGGUUCAUCGAAUGCACACUGACGAUGCAAGGUUUAUGAAUCGUGGAAGUGGCUUCCUUCAUGGAACGAGAACGUACCUCUUACACACAGAAGAAUGAUUGUACUAAUAGCCUAGAUUAUAUAAAGCACCUACUCUAUGUGAAGUGUACGGAUCGAUUAAAGCUUGGUAUCUUUU